CCUACGGGAGACAGCAGUCGAGAAUCAUUCACAAUGGGGGAAACCCUGAUGGUGCGACGCCGCGUGGGGGAAUGAAGGUCUUCGGAUUGUAAACCCCUGUCAUGUGGGAGCAAAUUAAAAAGAUAGUACCACACGAGGAAGAGACGGCUAACUCUGUGCCAGCAGCCGCGGUAAUACAGAGGUCUCAAGCUUUGUUCGGAAUCACUGGUCGUAAAGCGUGCGUAGGCUGUUUCGUAAGUCGUGUGUGAAAGGCGCGGGCUCAACCCGCGGACGGCACAUGAUACUGCGAGACUAGAGUAAUGGAGGGGGAACCGGAAUUCUCGGUGUAGCAGUGAAAUGCGUAGAUAUCGAGAGGAACACUCGUGGCGAAGGCGGGUUCCUGGACAUUAACUGACGCUGAGGCACGAAGGCCAGGGGAGCGAAAGGGAUUAGAUACCCCAGUAGUC
rnacentral:rRNA from 1 species